CCAAAUUCCAUCGCCUAAUAAUAUCAUCAGUUGUAAGAAGUUAAGAGUUUGGUACGUACCCCGGUGCAAGAGACCAUGGAUGCAAAAGUCAGAUAAUUAGGAACCUGGACUACAAGGGCAAAUGGGAGGCACCUUUCAUCGACAUUCAGCCCAGGGAACCUCAACUUUCCCACUGUUGUACAUUCAUACUACUGUCCAUGUAUUGCUUCUGCUCAACUAUAAUACACGGAAACAUGAAAGCUCAUGUUUUUCCCUUGUUUGUGCAGAGUACAAGGAUGAUUCCUACAUCUAUGCAUUGAUAUGCUGAACCACAUUGGCAUUGAGCCAAGCCAGAUGUCUGAUGUAGACAACUAAGGCAAUGGCUAUUGCAUUGUAGGACGAGAAGGUCCAACGUGGUGGCAGCGGGUACAUACCCAACGCGGCGACCCGUGGGCGCACCGGUUCUAGGGGCUUGAGAGCUGGGGCCGGCAUCCAGGCGGUGAACAUGGAUGGUGGCGUGUGGAAGUGGGCGGUGGUGGGCAGGGAACAAUGUGGCCCUGUCGGCGUCCUCUUCGUUUA